rnacentral:rRNA from 1 species
GACAGAGGCCCCGAGCGUUAGGCGGAAUCACUGGGCUUAAAGCGUGUGUAGGCGGAUCGUUAAGUGUCUUGUGAAAUCCCACGGCUCACCCGUGGAACUGCUGGGCAUACUGGCGAUCUUGGGCCAUUCAGGGGCGACUGGAACAAGCGGUGGAGCGGUGAAAUGCGUAGAUAUCGCUUGGAACGCCAAAGGUGAAAACAGGUCGCUGGGGAUGUGCCGACGCUGAGACACGAAAGCCAGGGGAGCAAACGGGG